rnacentral:rRNA from 1 species
CCUACGGGUGGCAGCAGUGAGGAAUAUUGGUCAAUGGACGAGAGUCUGAACCAGCCAAGUAGCGUGAAGGAUGACUGCCCUCUGGGUUGUAAACUUCUUUUAUAAAGGAAUAAAAUGAGGCACGUGAGCCUUUUUGAAUGUACUUUAUGAAUAAGGAUCGGCUAACUCCGUGCCAGCAGCCGCGGUAAUACGGAGGAUCCGAGCGUUAUCCGGAGUUAUUGGGUUUAAAGGGAGCGUAGAUGGGUUGUUAAGUCAGUUGUGAAAGUUUGCGGCUCAACCGUAAAAUUGCAAUUGAUACUGGCAAUCUUGAGUAAGGUUGAGGUAGGCGGAAUUCGUGGUGUAGCGGUGAAAUGCUUAGAUAUCACGAAGAACCCCGAUUGCGAAGGCAGCUUACUAAACUGUGACUGACAUUGAUGCUCGAAAGUGUGGGUAGCAAACAGGAUUAGAUACCCCGGUAGUC